AUACACCUACGGGAGGCAGCAGUGGGGAAUAUUGCACAAUGGGGGAAACCCUGAUGCAGCGACGCCGCGUGAGUGAAGAAGUAUUUCGGUAUGUAAAGCUCUAUCGGCAGGGAAGAAAUACUGACCUUACGGUCAGCAGACGGUACCUGACUAAGAAGCCCCGGCUAACUACGUGCCAGCAGCCGCGGUAAUACGUAGGGGGCAAGCGUUAUCCGGAUUUACUGGGUGUAAAGGGAGCGUAGGUGGCAGGGCAAGUCAGAUGUGAAAACCCGGGGCUCAACUCCGGGAGUGCAUUUGAAACUGUC
rnacentral:rRNA from 1 species